UGAAACGCGCGAAGCAGGGUUGUUACCCUCGCCGCAGUGUGAGCAGCGCCAUCGCUCGGCCGGCGUUGCGGCCCUGACCUUCUCCCUAACUGAUGGCGGCGCUUGGGUGUGAAGGGCUUGAUCGGAAGGCCAAAGGGACGCGCGCGGGUUAACAGCCACCUCCUUUGCCUCGCCUCCUGCCGGGCGCCUGUAUUGCCUUAGCUCCUAUUUCUCAUCGUCGUGCUGGACCCGAGCAUGGCUUUCCCUUGCUUUGCUUCAGCUGAGUGUGCAGCACAGCUUCUGCUUAGGUGAGGCCUUGUACCACUUCGGGAUUUCACCAGCAUAAAGGCCAAUAACAGAUUCAGUCCCCACAGUCUUGGAGCAGAACAUGAGCCAAAGUAAACCUCCUGAUGCUUACCCAGUCUGUGGUACUGUGUUACCAGCUAUAGAAAAUGGUUUAAAACAAUAUACUUUACCUUCUGAGUCUGGAACAUUUCCCUGGGUCAGCUUGACAAAGGUCAGCAUGAAACCAUAUUUUCUGCCAGAAAUCAGCACAAGUGGAUUAUCUCUGAAAUGUAUAUAAAUUGCUGUUUUACUUUAAGCCAGUGCUGAUGAUUUGGACCCAGUUCCCAUCCUUAAUAAAAGUUGCUUUCCAA